rnacentral:piRNA from 1 species
GACAAACCACAUUAGGCCAAUGAAGU